rnacentral:rRNA from 1 species
GGGAGGCAAAAAUGCAAGUCGAGCGAACCACUUCGGUGGGAAGCGGCGAACGGGUGAGUAACACGUAGGUGAUCUGCCCUUCAGACGGGGACAACGAUUGGAAACGAUCGCUAAUACCCGAUAGGACGAAAGUUUAAAGAUGCUUCUGGCAUCACUGAUGGAUGAGCCUGCGGCGCAUUAGCUAGUUGGUGGGGUAAAGGCCUACCAAGGCGACGAUGCGUAGCCGACCUGAGAGAGUGAACGGCCACACUGGGACCGAGACACGGCCCAGACUCCUACGGGAGGCAGCAGUAGGGAAUCUUCGGCAAUGGGCGAAAGCCUGACCGAGCAACGCCGCGUGAAUGAAGAAGGCCUUCGGGUUGUAAAAUUCUGUUAUAAGGGAAGAAAGGUGAUAGGAGGAAAUGACUAUCAAUUGACGGUACCUUAUGAGAAAGCCACGGCUAGCUACGUGCCAGCAGCCGCGGUAAUACGUAGGUGGCAAGCGUUAUCCGGAAUUAUUGGGCGUAAAGAGCGCGCAGGUGGUUAAUUAAGUCUGAUGUGAAAGCCCACGGCUUAACCGUGGAGGGUCAUUGGAAACUGGUUGACUUGAGUGCAGAAGAGGGAAGUGGAAUUCCAUGUGUAGCGGUGAAAUGCGUAGAGAUAUGGAGGAACACCAGUGGCGAAGGCGGCUUCCUGGUCUGCAACUGACACUGAGGCGCGAAAGCGUGGGGAGCAAACAGGAUUAGAUACCCUGGUAGUCCACGCCGUAAA